rnacentral:sRNA from 1 species
AUUUGAAUUAUAUAUCUUUUAAAUUAAAGUAUUAUUAAAACAAAAAUAACAAAAACAAAAUGUUUAAUUUCACUAAACGGGUUUAGAUGGUAGGACGGGAUUGAGUCGACAGUAAUACGAGACGGUAUACCAAAGGUGAAAUCCAUUAGAUAUGUUUAGUUUUACUUAACGGGAUUAGAUGGUAGAACGAGUUUGGGUCGAUAGUAAUAUGAGAUGGUAUACCACGGAUGAAAUCCUAAUAAUAACAAUCAAAAUACAAUCAUAUUAU